AGUGCGGGUUUGCGGUUUAGUGAAGGAGCAAGGCUCAUGUGAAUAGAAGAAUCCAAGGUAGAGCAGGAAGAGAAAUCCAGCUAGAGAAAGAGGUGGAAGUCAAAAUAAGUAGACUCUUAUUUUAAAUUUUUAAUGGCUUCUUGGUGGCUUCAAGAUAAAAAUUGAUUUUUCUGAGAACAAAAUAAAUAUCCACAGUGAGUCACAAAUGUAAAUGUAUUGAGUGCCCAAUGUAUGGAGCCCUUUCUCCAAGACCUCACUGCCGUAAAUACAAAUAUAACUGAGAACUGGUGAUUUGAAGAUGAUUCUUGGGAUAGCGGGCUAGGCGGCACUUCACACUGGCUUUUGGGGCCACAUAGGGGUGUAAUCAUGUUAUCACCCUGCACAACCCCAGAGGGUACCAUACACAACCCAUUUGACCAAACAUGGCAGUCCUGAAAGGAAUGAUGAUUGAAAGCCAAGACUGAGCUUUGGCAAGGAAACCACCUCUGAAUUACCAACUCAUUGUCUAUAAUGUAAUGAUAGCAUCUACCUCUUAGUAAUUUUGUGAACAUUAAAUGAAUAAAG
rnacentral:lncRNA from 1 species